rnacentral:lncRNA from 1 species
UGGCGUGUUAUUUUGGCGGACAAGGAGGGCCGUAUGUAUUAAGAAAUUUUUUAAUCGACUUGACUUUCAACCCGUGCUUUGUGAGGUAGUGAGGAUUUUAUGCGACGACAUGACGAUGAUAUGCAUGUAAAAGUGAGCCACAAUUGCAUAAUAACUUCAAGUUUAUAAAACUAUAAAUACUAUAAUGGGAGUUCCUAGUAUUUGACAGUCCAGCUCGAACAACAGACGAUUGUGUUGUUCACUUAUAGAACCUAGAUGUAUGGCGCUGGUUGUAUGGCUAACAAAAGAAGCAGCUUAUUUGAAGAACUCCUUUGAGCCCAUGAGGAUAUGUGAUGAUAUUCUAUGACGGCAAGUCCAUGAGUUGUGA